UAAUUGUAAUAGACAAGCUCAAUGGACACGAAUUUCCUAAACAGUGUUGUGUUAAUUUGCUAGACGACAGUUUGUCUUAAAACGGUCAGUUAUUAGGGUGUAAAACAUUUGAAAUAUCCAGUUUUUAAAAUGACCCACUUGUGAGGAAAACGUUCGUGUGUUGCGUCAAAGGCAAAAUAUAAAAAUCACUGUUACCAGGAGGAAGCAUAAGUUUAUGUAAAAAAGAAAAAAACCCAAGACAUAUAUGACCAAAAAACAAGGCAGCUUGGACAAGAAAAAAAAAGGGAGACUGGCAUUUGACUAAAACAAGGCAUUCGAGGGUUGGCAAAAACAAAAAGGAGACAAGUCAUUUGAAGAGAGAGACAGCCCAUCUUCAACCUUCGUCUUCGUCGGCGUCCCCAAAUCUUGGUUCACGAAAACGGAGAGGAACUCAGGGGUUUUGAUACGACAGUUGUUUCGCAAUUGUUUCUCUCUCUUCUCUCGGCUCCCACCCGCACCCGCACUCGCACUCGCACUCGAAGGAACUCAGUGAUAGCGCCGUCUCUUUUGGCUCCCUCUCUCAGCAAAAAAAAUGGAAAAUGAUCAAGAAUAACUUAUCUAUGCUUUUGUCUGGCACAAUGCAAGUUCCCAACACAUACAAUAUAUAUGCUAUUACAUAUUUGUCGAUCUUCUUUGCAUCUAGUUGAGGAUGAACAACUUCAAAAUUUGACUUUAACCAUGAAAGACUACACUUCGUUCCUUUAUUGCACUCAACCAUUCCAAAAAUUGUCCAAGCGAGUUCUCUAGAGUCUAGAUUGCUACCGGUAACUGGAUUGCCAUCUAUCGGCAAUCCAGUUAUUCUAAGCACGUCUUCUAAUCUUAAAACAUACUUCCAUUUGCCAAAUAUAAAUUGUCCUUUUUUAUAACAUGCUAAAAUGGCAUUUAACAUAGUUAAAUCAUGUUUCACUGUAAGCCUAGCAUACUUCAAAUAGGUAUUGAAUCAUGUUCCUUCAAGUCGGCAUUCAACCCUUUUAUCCACAUUCCAUUUCAUCAAAAACUUCAUAAGUUGAUGAAAGGGUUGAAGGGUUGAAUUGAAGGAACAUGAUUCGAUACCUACUUGAAGUAUGCUAGGCUUACGGUGAAGCAUGAUUUGGCUAUGUUAAAUGCCAUUUUAGCAUGUUAUAAAAAAAGACAAUUUAUAUUUGGCAAAUGGAAGUAUGUUUUAAGAUUAGAAGACGUGCGUAGGAUAACUGGAUUGCCGAUAAAUGACAAUCCAGUUACCAAUAGCAAUCUAGAUUCUAGAGAACUCGCUUGGACAAUUUUUGGAAUGGUUGAGUGCAAUAAAGGAACGAAGUGUAGUCUUUCAUGGUUAAAGUCAAAUUUUGAAGUUGUUCCUACUCAACUAGAUGCAAAGGAGAUUGAUAAAUAUGUAAUAACAUAUAUGUUGUACGUGUUGGGAACUUGCAUUUUGCCAGACAAAAGCAGAGAUAAGGUGUGGCUCCUGUAUCUUCACACACUUGAAAAUGUGAAGAAUUAUGCAUUUGGGGCAACAAUGCUGGCACAUCUCCAAAAUGCUAUAGAAGAUUUUUCAGAGAGCCCGAAAAGUAAACACUUUGUUGGAGAUGCUGCAUUUCUAACAGCAAAUAUUAAUUUCAUGCCUUAAAAAAAAUAGAGUAUGAAAGGUAUUCUUUCGAAGGCCUUAAAUUUUUUCAGGUUGCUAUAAUGGAGUAUAUCCCGGAGCUUGCUUAUAAACUCAUGAAAAGAAAUGAUUUUGCCAAACCUGAUAAAUUCCCUUUGCUCAUCGGACGGGGAGAGGUGUACAAGCAAAGGCUGGAAAGCAAGUACAAGGCUUCUAUGUAAGAGUAUGUUGAUGUGCUGAAGAAUAUUGAAGAGGUUACGUGGCAGCCAUAUGCAAGGCUUACUGAGUCCUUGCCGGAUUGUUUAAAACCUCAAUUGAUCAUGCGUUUGAGUAGAACAGUCAUGAUCUGUUUUAACUACGUGGCUUACCAUCGCCCCGACAAAUGCAUAAAGAAGUUUGGCUUCCACAAAGUUGAUUUUAGUGCUUGCUGCCAGGUGAAGUCAUACCAAUCAAAAGCUAUGAGUGCGCCAGGGAUGCACCUGUACCUGGACACACUGCCACUCUCUCUCAACACACUGCCAUUCCCUCUCCCUCUGCCUUCAUACCCACUUCCUUUGGACACACUGCCAAUCUGUCUCAACACACUGCCACUCCCUCUCCCUCUGCCUUCAUGCCCACUUCCUUUGGACACACUGCCAAUCUCUCUCAACACACUGCCACUCCCUCUCCCUCUGCCUUCAUGCCCACUUCCUUUGGACACACUCCCACUCCCUCUCUAAUGGAAGAAGAUGGAUGGUCAGAGGCUCAAGUUAACAUAGAGGAUGAAGAGGUCCGAACUUCAGAGGCUCAAGUCCGAACUUCACAGGCUCAAGCUUGUAUUAACCAAAAUACUCAAGCUGUGCAAACCCCACCUUCACAGCUUGUAUUUUCAGUCAUAGACCAGGAGGCAGAGCCCUCCACCUUGCCUAGGCCAGUUCCGCAGCAUAAUUCUACUGCUGACCUGUCAACAUCUCAUAUACAAGAUGUGCAGACCCCACCUUCACAGCAUGUAUCUUCAGUCAUAGACCAGGAGGCAGAGCCCUCCACCUUGCCUAGGCCAGUUCCGCAGCAUAGUUCUACUGUUGACCCAUCAACAUCUCAUCAGGCAUCUCCAUCAUGCAAUCCUCCGCUACCGGGAUCUCAAGAUCAACAAUCUGCUGCAGCACCAGCAGAAGUUGCAGAAGCGGCAAAACCACCAGUCUUCAAUUCAUCGCCUUCCAUAGCUACCAACUCAAAAUCUGAAAACAACCCAUUAUCACAGUUGGUCGAUGCCAUACGCUUCAUGUUAGAUCCAAAGGUUAAAGAGCGUGCUGUUGAAAUUGGCGAGGCCAUGGAUGUCGAAGAUGGGGUCACAGGAGCAGAGAAUGUCUUUCAUAGAAACUUUCCUCACAAUAUAUCUGAGGAUAAACCCGAGUCAUUGCCAGCUAGAAGAGGCUUAUUUUUCUCAGGAGAUGUUUUGGCUACUCCUCCUACACAUGAUUCUUCACUAGUCCACAGCCAUGUUUUCUUCGUAUUAUGCGCAAGACAUCAGAAAUGUAAAGUUCUGAUAUCCUCUUACUAGGUUACUUUGACAUUACAUCGUUUUUGUUUUGCUCGUCAUACAAAUCUUCUACAGAUGACUUUGUUUUCAUUAUUAAAAAGAAAAAAAUGCAUAUUGACCACACACAAAAUGCAUGAAUUUCCUAGU